rfam:Arenibacter nanhaiticus strain CGMCC 1.8863 genome assembly, contig: Ga0066783_107
UCCUCGCGUUAGGGAUUGCAGCGGCAUCCUUUUUUAGAGGGCCACGGGACCUUUAAAAAAGAUAGAGCGGAAAGCCUGACCGACG